rnacentral:lncRNA from 1 species
UUUAAGCUUUAUGUGGAUGCUCCUCGUUUAGCUUGAGGGGACGUAUUAGAGUGUUUACAUAGAGUUAGAUAUUUUAGUUUGUUAUUACUUUGUUAUGUUUGUUCCACCCCUUCUUCUAUAUAUGAUGAUAUAUAUGGGGGUUUCCAUUGUAUGAUUGUGAUUGAUGAUAUGAGAUCAGAUUAGUUUGAGCAUGAUCCUUACCAUUAGUUUCUUUAAUUAAUCGGUGUCCAUGGUGAAGUCGGUCUGUUCAAAGUAAGAAGUUUUUUUUCUUUUUUGUGGGUGUUUUUGGUUCGAUGGUUGGACUGUUCGAGUACUUGUGGUAUGAAUAGGGGUUGGUCUAAUCAAAAGGGAAAUCAACAACCACUAGCGAUUUAGGGGUUGCAUUUGAAUCUAAGUUGAAGACCCAAAUCGAAUACGACAAUCUAUUCAGACAUAUAUGUUCAAGCAAGACACUGUUUAUGGCUACUGAAAGCAUCAUGAACUUGAGAUCAGGAUGCCAACAUCCUUUUACUUGGAACCCAAAUAAGGACAAGGCUCUCCUAGAGCUAACUUUGUGGUUGACUUCGCUAGAGUCUUCACAAAUAAGGACAAGGCUGCUGCACACUUGAAGUUCGCAUUGGUUUUUCGCUUUUUUUUAAAUUCAGUUAUGUUUUAUUAUUAUGAAUGGAUACAAUGGGCCGGUUCAUUAAAAACUUAUAUUAACAAAGAUAUUAGUUAUAUAUAUUAUGAUACUUAGCCCGUGUAAUACACGG